rnacentral:rRNA from 1 species
AUUGAACGCUGGCGGCAUGCCUAACACAUGCAAGUCGAACGGUAACACGCCAAGGGUUUCUUCCUACUGGUGGCGGGGGGCGGAAGGGUUAGGAAUGUAUCCCGAGCUGGUGUUUCAGGGAGCAAAACGUGUGCUAAUACCGCAUAUUACCUGAUACUGAAAACGGGGGACAGCACAGGAGUGUUUGGCCUUGCGCGUUUGGAGCAGCCGAUGUCGGAUUAGCUAGUUGGGGGGGUAAAGGCCUACCAAGGCGACGAUCCGUAGCUGGUCUGAGAGGAUGAUCAGCCACACUGGAACUGAGACACGGUCCAGACUCCUACGGGAGGCAGCAGUGGGGAAUCUUGGACAAUGGGCGCAAGCCUGAUCCAGCCAUGCCGCGUGAGUGAAGAAGGCCUUCGGGUUGUAAACCCCUUUUGUUAGGAAAGAAAAGCUGUAGGCUAAUACCGGGCGGUACUGACGGUACCUAAAGAAUAAGCACCGGCUAACUACGUG